CAAUUAAAUAUUCUUUAGGACAAAGUUGUUGUUUACGUUGAGCAGAUUUUAAAUAUAAAACUGUAUUUUUGCAGGGACUGAGCUUAAACCCUGCAGACACUGAAUCUGGUCCAGGAACCAAUCAUGACACGAUGUGGACUGAUGCUGAUGAUGGUGUGUCAUAUGCCUCCAUCAGCUUCACCAAGAAGACCAAGAAUAAAGCCCGGGCUGGUGGUGGUGAUGAUGAUGAUGAUGACACUGUGACUUACAGCACAGUGACAGCUGCCUCACCUGCUGGUGUUCCCAAUGAUCCCAGUGACCUCUAUUCCACCAUCAACAAACCAAAGAAAUAGGAUGUUACUCAUAAAAUGUUUCCUAUCGUUUUUCUGAUGCUGCAUCAAUGUUUGGAUGAUAGAGUAACUUAAUUUUUGUUCUUCUUAAAGUAAUUUUGUAAUUUUGUAUGAUAUAAUGUUGAGUGUAAUCCAAAGGUAUGUAGACCAUGGAUCAAGCAGUGGUGUGCAUGAGUGUGAAUUGAGUCAGAAUUAGCUACUGCAGUAAGUCCCAUGAAAUGUUUUUUUUUUAAUAUAUCAUAAGAGUUAUUAACUGAAGGACAUUAAUAUAUCUAAAUAUUCAUCUUUUAUUUGAUUUCUUCACAAAAAACGUUAAGUGAACUACUUAACCUCAGUUAAUACAUAGAAAACACAUUCAAUAAUAAAACUGCAUUAUUAUCACAAGUGUUGCUUCUUUAUUCUUCCUUUAACUGAGACAGACAUGAUAUACUUUUAGCUGACUCUUGGAAACUAACAUUAUCAAAAUAA
rnacentral:lncRNA from 1 species